UUUUUUUUUUUUUUUUUUUUUUUUUUUUUUUUUGAUUAAGGAUUUCAACGAAAACUACAAUAUUGAACAAAAUGUAUACCAAAUACUAUCAUCAACAAGUUGUUUGUUGCAAAUACAUUUGUUUAGAAGAUUGUUGGAGCAACUAUUUGUUAUAAGAACAACCAAAAAAUCAUUUAUGAAUAUCUGUUCGUAUUUAUUAGGGAUAAGCUUUUAUGUUAUAACACCUAUUUCUUUGCAUAGCGAUAAUGUAAAAAGGAUUAAUUCUGUUAAUUUAUUUGCUCUCAUAAUAUUUAUAACUGGAAAUAUACUUCAGUAUGAUUCGCAUGUUAGGUUGUCUAAACUUCGUUCUAAAGAUUUAAAAGAAGGUGAUGAUUUGUAUAAAGUCCCAUAUGGCGGGUUUUUUAAUUUUGUUAGUUGUCCUCAUUAUUUGGCAGAAAUAUUAAUUUAUUUUUCAUUUUUUAUAUGGAACUGGAAUAUUAUAAGUUCCCUAAAUUUUGUUUUCGUUUUAUUGGGUCUUAUCAAAAAUGGUAUACAAACGCAUACUUGGUAUCUCAAAGUGUUAGGAGAUGCAUACCCCAGAACUAGGAAAAUAAUAUUCCCCUACAUUUUAUAAGAAACUUUUUUAUUAAAAAAAAACAAAAAAAAAUUACAAUAACUAUUUUUGCACAAAUAGGAGUAAUUUAUAUUUUUGCCUUGUUUAUUGAUAUAUUUAAAAUGUUUUGAAAAACCGUAUUUUAUGUAUACAUUCCCAAGUAUUACACGUGAAAAAAAAUAAAAAUAAAUAAAUAAGUAAAAAAUAAAUAAGU
rnacentral:lncRNA from 1 species